AACUCCCAAAAGGCACCGCGGGGAAGCCUAGAGGGGAGAGGCUGGCUUUUACUUGAGAGAGUCGGGGGCACCAGAGGUUGGGCCGCUUUGUUCCGCGUAGCUCUCCGCCCUCUCGGCCAACGGCAAAUCUAACCGACCCGAGCUGGAGUGGGGACGCUGGGAGUAGAAAUGCGCUGAGAGCUUCCUGGCGGAGGCGCAGAAAAGACAUGGUGGUGAGGCGCUUGGGUUUGGAGACGCACGAAACUGGGUUCUUUGAGCUCAGUUGCUCCCCGUGAAAUCGGAAUAAUGCACUUUCCAGAGGAUUUUCUCGAAUUAGGAGUUAAUUCGAUCCAGUGCGCCUUCCUCGGCACACUAGAAGACGGAAGCUCAAUGAGAUUAAGAAAUUUGCCAACGGCCAGACAUCUAGAAAGUGCCCGAACUGGGAGUUGAAGUUCAUUUGCCAGUGACCAGGAAUCAAAAUGACCCAGGGAUGGUAGGCGCUCUGCAGUGACCAGGCCUGGGGAACUGCGCUGCUUCUCGUGAUGGUUUUGCACUCCGGGGAGAACCAGAAUACCGGUUUCCUAGUUGGUGAGUGCCCCCCCCCCCGCAAGUUGUACCAAAGCAUAGGAAGUACCCAAGGCCAAAAGGCACCCUCAGUUUUCCAGAACAAUCCCAAUUCAAACAUAUUCUGACCUGUUACCUCUGAAGUACAAAUAUCAUUGUCAGACAAUGUACUCCAAUUCUUGAUUUGGAAAAUAUGCUUCCCAAAGCCAAAGGGGACUGAUUAGGCUUGGAGAAAGUAGGGCCAGGAGGGAGCAGUAACGAGGCCUCACAUGAGAGGAAGCAAAGUACCAAAAGGUGGAGCUAAUAGACCCCCGGGGGUCUGUUGGGAUGAUAAUGUGAGAUGGCAUACAGGCCCCAUUGAUGGAAACAACCAUCCAAACCCCACUAACAUGAUCUCCAUCUGUGGCUUUCUCAUGUGUCACUUGGGUCCCUGAGUUCCAUGUCCCAAUUCAUUCCACAGUUAUGAAGGGUUUGUGCAGGGCAGGGUUCUGACAGUAUGAGCUAUGAAGGAUACAUAGAGGAACACAACCCACUCUGGGCAUUUACAGUCUGGAGGGGGAGCAAGGCAUGUAUAUGUAUAUGUGUGUAUAAAUAUGUAUAUAUAUGUAUAUGUAUAAAUACACAUAUGUGUAUGUGUAUGUGUGUUUGUAUAUGUAUAUAAUCAGAGAAGACAGCCUUACCCAUGCUAUAGUCAGAGCUGGAAGAGGCUGUGGGAACCCAGAGGAGGGGCAGGCCAGGUCCUCCUGAGUGGGGGCGAGGCAAGAUCAAGGACAGCAUCAUGGAAGAGUUGGAGCUGGAACUGGGUUUUAAGUCAGACAAAGAUUUGCAGAAAGGAAGCAAGGCCAUUCCUGGCUAAUAGCAGGGAGCCGUAAACAUGGUUAUGUGAAAACGCAGCUGUGGCUGGAAAACAGAGCCUGUAUGCGUUAACCCCAGAGAGGCAGAGUGAGGUGGGGUAAUCUCAUUAGUAGUUUCAUUUAUUCUGAAGGUGAGGAGGAAGGGCCUUGGGCCUUUGAGCUGGGAAACGCAUGAUUAGAUGGGUGUUAUUUUAAAAGUGGUUUCUGGCAGCAGCACGUUGGAUACACAGUGCAGAGCAAUGGCUGAGGAGGAGGGAGGAGUUCAUUCCCCCUUUAUC